rnacentral:rRNA from 1 species
AUGCAAGUCGAGCGGGCUUAUUCGGGCAACUGGAUAAGUUAGCGGCGAACUGGUGAGUAACACGUAGGUAAUCUGCCGUAGAGUGGGGGAUAACCCAUGGAAACAUGGACUAAUACCGCAUAUACUCUUGACACAUAAGUGUAGUAGAGGAAAGGAGUAAUCCGCUUUACGAUGAGCCUGCGGCCUAUUAGCCUGUUGGUGAGAUAAAAGCCCACCAAAGCUACGAUAGGUAGCCGACCUGAGAGGGUGACCGGCCACAUUGGGACUGAGAUACGGCCCAGACUCCUACGGGAGGCAGCAGCUGAGAAUCUUCCACAAUGGACGAAAGUCUGAUGGAGCGACAUCGCGUGAGGGAUGAAGGCCUUCGGGUUGUAAACCUUGGAAAUUAUCGAAGAAUGAGUGACAGUAGAUAAUGUAAGCCUCGGCUAACUACGUGCCAGCAGCCGCGGUAAUACGUAGGAGGCAAACGUUGCUCGGAUUUACUGGGCGUAAAGGGUGAGUAGGCGGAACUAUAAGUCUAAGGUGAAAUAUCGAAGCUCAACUUCGGAAACGCCUCGGAUACUGUGGUUCUUGGAUAUUGUAGGGGAUGAUGGAAUUCUCGGUGUAGCGGUGGAAUGUAUAGAUAUCGAGAAGAACACCUAUAGCGAAGGCAGUCAUCUGGGCAUUUAUCGACGCUGAAUCACGAAAGCUGGGGGAGCAAACAGGCUUAGAUACCCUGGUAGUCCCAGCCGUAAACGUUGCACACUAGGUGCUCCUAUUAAAAUAGGCGUGCCGUAGCUAACGUCUUAAGUGUGCCGCCUGAGGAGUAUGCCCGCAAGGGUGAAACUCAAAGAAAUUGACGGGUCCCCGCACAAGUGGUGGAGCAUGUGGUUUAAUUCGAUGAUACGCGAAAAACCUUACCUGGGUUUGAAUUGU